UCCGUUAUGGUGUAGUGGCUAACAUUAUCGCCUCUCAACAUCUGGUGCGCGAUAGCCCAGGGUUCGAUUCCCUGUAACGGAA